CGAACGCGAAAGAAGCCUUCGGGUUUCAAGUAGAGUGGCGCACGGGUGAGUAACACGUAGGUAAUCUACCUUCGGGUGGGGAAUAACCCAGGGAAACUUGGGCUAACACCGCAUAAUGCAGCGGCACCACAUGGUGACAGUUGUUAAAGCGGGGGAUUUUCGGACCUCGCGCCUGAAGGGGAGCCUGCGGCAGAUUAGCUAGUUGGUAGGGUAACGGCUUACCAAGGCGACGAUCUGUAGCCGGCCUGAGAGGGCGGCCGGCCACACUGACACUGACAUACGGGUCAGACUCCUACGGGAGGCAGCAGUCGGGAAUUUUGGGCAAUGGGCGAAAGCCUGACCCAGCAACGCCGCGUGAAGGAUGAAAUCCCUCGGGAUGUAAACUUCGCAAGAAUAGGAAGAAUUAGCGAACGCUAACAUCGUUCGUGAUGACGGUACUAUUUGUAAGCUCCGGCUAACUCCGUGCCAGCAGCCGCGGUAAUACGGGGGGAGCAAGCGUUGUUCGGAUUUACUGGGCGUAAAGGGCGCGUAGGCGGUCAGCACAAGUCAGUUGUGAAAUCUCCGGGCUUAACUCGGAAAGGUCAACUGAUACUGUGCGACUAGAGUGCAGAAGGGGCAACUGGAAUUCUCGGUGUAGCGGUGAAAUGCGUAGAUAUCGAGAGGAACACCU
rnacentral:rRNA from 1 species